rnacentral:rRNA from 1 species
UACGGGGGGGGCAAGCGUUGUUCGGAAUUACUGGGCGUAAAGGGCUCGUAGGCGGCCAACUAAGUCAGACGUGAAAUCCCCAGGCUCAACCUGGGAACUGCGUCUGAUACUGGAUGGCUUGAAUCCGGGAGAGGGAUGCAGAAUUCCAGGUGUAGCGGUGAAAUGCGCAGAUAUCGGGAGGAACAUCAGUGGCGAAGGCGGCCUUCUGGUCCAGUACUGACACUCAAGUGCGAAAGCGUGGGGAGCAAACAGG